GCAAAGGAGAGACACCUGCCGGCAGCUCCCAUAUGGUCUAGCGGUUAGGAUUCCUGGUUUUCACCCAGGCGGCCCGGGUUCGACUCCCGGUGUGCAUCACUUCUCUGGGCUCUACUUCUGAGUCUACGCGUGCACGGAGGACCAAACGUAAGAACACUAUACCAGAGUGACGUUCCAAGACUUCUGUGCAUUUGCCUUUGUUAACCCGAGGUUUAACGCGGGGCUGAGGUGGUCUGCUCUGAAGAUGGAGUUGCCUCUGUCCCUCUGCACUUGAAAGUUUUAGAGUACUGCCUCUUACCACAGUCCAUGGCAGGAGACACUGGAACUCCCCGGGUUGUUACUGUACCCUCCUCCCUCCUCUUCUUGGGGCUCCCAAAACUAGAUUUGAGGCUUGUUCAAAGUGUGAGCUUGUCUCAACGGCAGCACAACCUGUGUCUCUCACCUGGCUGGCCUUGCCCUUUCUUUCUUUCUUUCUUUCUUUCUUUCUUUCUUUCUUUCUUUCUUUCUUUUUUUUUUUUUGGAAGCAACUUCUGCUUCCCCACCCCACCCCCACCCCAACCCCAGCUGUGUUUUGAACUAAUCUCUCUGUGUCUUGAUUUUCCUCGGCAGUUUUCUUAUCCUCUAACCCUCUUUCUUUAACCUCACUUUCUAUGAAGGGCUCCAGCUUGACAAGGCAGACUCCCGUCUUGUAUCCAGGCCUCCAUUUUAUACAAUAGGCCCUGUCUUCAAGGUAAACUCCAAUUACUGGAGAAACCACAAACUGUUUCGGAAGGAGCCACCCUAGACUCUAACAGGAAAACACCCAAAGUUCCAGAGCCUAUAGAUAGAUUGCUUAAGACAACGGAAAUGAUUGUUAGCCAAUCUCUAGCCUGCCAAGCGGAUAAGCUCCUCACCCUGCUGUAACUGCAAUAAAAAAGCUGAACCUCCAGCGCUCCCGGCAUUCUUUGCUACCCCGCUGCGUCGGAGGAGCCUGAGGGUCUGAGCUCGGACUUGGAUAAAGACUCUUUGCUUUUGCAUACGAGUUCGACUUCUGGUGGUCUUUGGGGACCCUAGGAUCUGGGCAUAACAUUUGGGGGCUCAUCCGGGAUCCCCUGAGGCCCCCAGGACCCCCGAGCCGUUGAGUCAGAACCCGGUGGGUAAGUGUCUGAAUGUUUGUGCUCUGCCUCGGUGUCUCAGCGCUCCAAACGAGUAGCCAGCAGGCGGUCCAGGCGUACCGGCGCCACCCGACUUGGGAGAAGUCCCGGACCCGCGAGUAGGGGAUUGGAUCCCCUCGUAGACUUGAAGAGACAAAGAGGGUCGCUCCCGAGGCGGUGCUCUCACUUCUGUUCUUGCCUAAGAUCGCCGCAGGAAGGACUGAGUGCCUUUUUGUCUUUCGCCCAUCUGUUUGCUAUCCGUCUGGACUUAUUUCUUUGUGACUGACUUAGUUCUUUGUGACUGACGCCAUGGGACAGACCCAGACCACUCCUUUUAUCUUUGUUCUUAGACCAUUUCAAAGACUAUAAAACAAGGGCUAGAAGUCGGGGCUUAGUUGUUAAGAAGAGACUAACUGCUUUCUGCAGGAAGGAAUGGCCAACCUUCAACGUUGGCUGCCCGCCAGAGGGGACUUGGAACUUACUCGCGAUUUUUUAGGACCAAGGAUAUCAUUUUUUAGACGACCCGGACACCCAGACCAAGUGCCCUACAUCAUCACCUGGCUGGAUCUGGUCCAGGACCCGCCAAAAUGGCUCAAGCCUUGGCUGCUGCCAAGGCAACCAAGUGCCGCCGUACUCGCCCCAGAAAACCGCGAAGAACCAAAAACAAACUAACCCUAGGGUCUCUCUUUAUCCUGUCUUGCAGGGUAGCACUGAGGAAGACUUCCUCAACCCAGACCCGCCUUAUGAACCCCCAUUAGAGGGUAGCCCAGGCCUUCAACCUGAGGCCCCAGGAGGGGUUCAUGGGUCUCCCUUGGUGAACCCUCCUCACACCCAAUGGAAAGUCCAACAAGAGCUGCCUCAACCACCCGUGGCUGAGUCCACGGUUCUCCCCUUGACGGCAGUAGGUCCCCGGGACGAUGAGGGGAACCAACUGAUGGAAUAUUGUCCCUUAGCCAUUAGACAGCUAUAUAAUUGGAAAUGCAAGUACCCUCAGUUCUCAGAGAAACCAGCUGCGUUGAUUAACUUAAUCGAUUCUGUCAUUUUAACCCACCAGCCCACCUGGGAUGACUGUCAAUUGCUCUUGCAGAUCCUCUUCACUACGGAGUGAGUGUGAGCGAGAGAGGAUUUUAAUUGAGGCCAUAAAAUUGGUUCCAGGAGCAAAUGGGAGCCCUACUACUAAACAAGCUCUUAUUAAUGCAGGCUUUUACGGGACCAGACCAGACUGGAAUUUUAACUUAGCAGAAGGUAAGGAGAGUCUCUGAGUCUACCGCUAGACUCUGAUGAGAGGUCUCAGGGCUGCUGCGCAGAGACCCACUCAUUUGGCCAAGGUACAUAGGGUGCAUCAGGAAAUGGCAGAAUCACCCGCAUUCUUUUUAGAAAGGAUUAUAGAGGCCUAUCGCAUCUACACGUCCCUAGACCCAGCGGCACCUGAGAUUAAGUCAACGGUCAUUAUGUCCUUAGUAGAUCAGGCCGCCCCUGACAUCAAGCACAAAUUGGAGAGAAUAGACAGGCUAGGGGAGAAGAGUUUGCAGGAGUUGCUGGUGGUAGCUGAGAAAGUGGUUGACAACAAAGAAAUACUUACGAAGAAACACUUGCAAGCCUAUGAGGAGCUAGGAAAUCAAAGGUUGGCCACAUUCUGUGUGCCUUUGUUGGCAGAUUCCCCGGAAGAGAAAGACCACCAAUGGAAAAGGUAAGCGGCCCCAACAAAAGAGGAAGCCAAAGCUCAAAAAGAACCAAUGUGCAUACUGUAAGAAGAUGGGACAUUGGGUCAAGGACUGCCCCAAGAAACCUCCAAAGAGGGACAAAGGAGGACAGGGUUCAGACCCCCUCCCUGAGCCCAGAGUAACCCUUAAAGUGGAGGGGAAAUCCAUUAGUUUCUUAGGAGACACAGGGGCACAAUAUUCAGUCCAAGCCCAUGGAAAACUGUCCUCAAAGAAAUCGUCGGAACCUGGGGCCACUGGUAUGAAUCAGGAUGCAUGGAGUACCCAAAAAAGAGUGAAUCUCAGAACGGGCCAGGUAUCCCACUCCUUCAUGACCAUACCAGAUUGUCCUAACCCCUCUUGGGGAGAAAUUUGCCAACCAAGGUAGGAGCUCAGAUUUCUUUUGAUCAAAAAGGGGAUUCUGUCACAGAUUCCAGAGGAUACCCUAGUCACAUACUCCCCCUGCCUCUAGAUGAUGAAUAUAAAUUGGACCAAAGACCAAGCUCUUUCCCGAAUGAGAGCUCAGCUUAGUUAACCAAGUUCCCCUCAGCUUGGGCAGAAACCGAAGGAAUGGGGUUGGCGGACCAUAGGACCCCCAUUCGGGUUGAACUGAAACCAGAGGCAACGCCUGUCCGAAUAAGACAGUACCCAAUCUCCCGUGAAGCCAAAUCAGUUAUCAUACCCCCCCCACAUCAGAAGGUUCAGGACUUGGGCAUACUAGUACCUUGCCAGUCCCCAUGGAACACGCCCCUACACUCCAUCAAGAAGCACAACUCAAAGGACUAUAGACUAGUCCAGAACCUCAAAGAGGUAAACAAAAGAGUUAUGGACAUAUAUUUCACAGUACCAAACACGUAUACCAUCCUGAGUUUGUUAAAACCUUCCCAGACUUGGUAUACAGUAUUGGACCUCAAAGAUGCUGUCUUAAGCCUGCUUUUAGCCCCCUUGAGCCAACCUCUGUUUGCCUUUGAAUGGCACAACCCAGAAGAAGAAUUCAAUGGACAACUAACAUGGACCAGACUGUCACAAGGCUUCAAGAAUUCAACAGUCAUCUUUAACAAGGCUCUACAUGAAGAUCUGGGUGAGUACAGUCGGGAACACCCCAAUACCACCCUCUUGCAAUAUGUAGAUGAUCUCUUAGUGGCAGCAGAGACCAUGGAAGAAUGUCAACGGAGUACUGAGGACCUGCUAAUGGCACUGGGGCAAUUAGGCUACAGGGCAUCAGCUAAGAAGGCUAAAAUCUGCCAACAAGAGGUAACAUACUUGGGAAACAUCCUAAAAGGGGGCCAAUGAUGGCUAUCGGAGGCCCAAAAAGAUACCAUUUUGAAGAUCCCCACACCCACCACAAAACAGAAGGUCAGACAGUUCUUGGGGUCGGCAGGAUUCUGCUGCAUUUGGGUCCCUAAUUUUGCAGAAUUGGCAAAGCCCCUCUAUGAGGCCACCAAAAAAAGGGGGCCCAAUGGACUGAGGCCCAGGAAAGAUCUUUCAAUAGAUUCAAACAGGCCUUAUUGGCAGCCCCCGCAUUAGUACUACCCGACAUCACCAAGCCCUUUCGUCUAUAUAUAGAUGAAAGCAAAGGCAUAGCUAAAGAAGUCCUCACUCACAUGUUAGGAUCCUGGAUUCACCCAGUAGCAUACCUAUCAAAGAAAUUAGUCCCUGUGGCUUCUGGAUGGCCUCCGCGUUUGAGAAUUAUCACUGCCACAGCCUUGCUAGUCAAGGAUGCAGACUUCGAGGCAAGAACUUUGUAUUACCACUCCCCAUGCCAUAGAAAGGAUUCUCAAACAACCCCCAGAUCAAUGGGUGAGCAAUGCACGCAUGACUCACUACCAAAGCCUGCUACUAAACCCUGAGUGUAUCCACUUCCUACCAAGCACUGCCCUGAACCCAGCCUCUCUGCUACCAGACCCAGAUUUGGAGACCCCAGUACAUGAUUGUGUGGGCAUACUAAGCCAGGUGCACAGAGUUGGGAAAGACCUAAUAGCCCGGGCCUCUGCCAAAUGCAGAAGCCACUUGGAUCAUGGACGGUAAAGCUUUGUGCUUGUAUGCAGGGGUGGCAGUGUUAUCAGACUCAGAAACUAUAUGGGCAUCUGCCCUGCCACCCAGCACUUCUACACUAUGGGGCAAACUCAUGGCCCUAACAGAAGCCUUAAAAAUGGAAAAAGGCAAAAUACUCAACAUUUAUACAGCUAGCAGAAAUGCCUUUGCUACAGCCCAUGUCCCUGAGGCCAUUUAUCAGGAGAGAGGACUCAUGACAGCUGAAGGAAAGACUAUUAAAAACAAACAGGAAGCCAGGCAUGGUGGCACACACCUUUAAUCCCAGCACUCGGGAGGCAGAGGCAGGCAGAUUUCUGAGUUCAAGGCCAGCCUGGUCUACAAAGUGAGUUAAAGGACAGCCAGGACUAUACAGAGAAACCCUGUCUUGAAAAACAAAACAAAACAACAACAACAACAACAACAACAACAACAACAACAAAACAGGAGAUCCUAAACCUUUUGGAGGCCUUUUGGCUUCCAAAGAAACUGGCUAUUAUACACUACCCACAGCACCAAAAGGCAAUGAUGCCUGAAGCAAAAGGCAGUCAAUGGGGCAGAUUCGGCAGCCAAGGCAGCAGCUCUCAAUCCUGUGGCAACUUUGACUUUCCAACUGCCUGACCCAGGAGCUCCAAUCCUACCAGAUGAGCCUGAAUACUCCAAAGAGGAUGUUCUCUCUAUUCACAAACUGCCUAUGGCCCAUAAGCCUGAUGGCUGGUGGCUCACCGGGGGCUGCAAAAUAAUCCUGCCCAGCAAUUUGGCAGCCAGUCUGCUCUAGCAUAUACACUGGACAACCCACUUGGGGACCAAGAAAACUGAGGAUCUGGUAGGAAAGGCAGACCUAAUAAUCCUCAACCUCAGGUCCCAGAUCAGACAGAUAGCCUCCAAAUGCUUUAGCUGUAAGCUCACUAAUGCAGAGAAUCAACCAAAGGAUAAAGGAUGCCAAACCGGGUGCUCACUGGGAAAUGGACUUUACUGAGAGAUAAGACCAGGGAAACAUGGUUACAGGUACCUACAGGUCAUGCUUGUAGACACCUUUUCAGGAUGGACUGAAGCCUACCCCACCAGGCAUGAAACAGCACAAAUAGUGAUCAAGAAGAUACCAGAGGAGGUGUUUCCCAGGUAUGGAAUGUCAGCCCUCCCAAGCUCUGACAAGGGACCUGUCUUCUUCACUAAGGUAACAUAGGGGAUGGCUAAAGCCAUUGGAGUGGAUUGGAAACUACAUUGUGCUUAUAGGCGCCCAAGCUCAGGACAGGUAGAGAGGACGAAUAGAACUUUAAAAGAGACCCUUACUAAAUUAAACUUGGAGACUGGUGGAAACUGGAUGGCUCUCCUCCCCUUCGCCCUCUAUAGGGUUCACCACAUACUCUAUACGUUGGAUUUAACCCCUUAUGAAAUCAUGUUUAGAAGACACACACACCCACACACACAUACUUUACCUAACCUAAAAUCUGAAGUGUUAGCUGAAAAUGAUGAUUGCCACUUACUUGACUCUCUUGAACAUCUAGCCUACACCCAAAAGGAGCUCUGGCCUCACCUGAAGGCUGUUUUUGAGGCUGCACCACCUCAUCCUCCCCACUGCUAUUGCUCUGGAGGCUGGGUCUUCCUGUCAAGGCACCAGAAGGGAACCCUAGAACCCUGCUGGGAAGGACCCUAUGUCGUGGUCCUAAGAACAUCCACUGUCCUCAGGAUUGAUGACAUUGCUACCUGAAUACAUCACACAUACCCACAUCUUGCAGACCCACAUCCAAACCCAGUCUACGUCUCCCCAAGGUGACAUAUUGCCUGAGACCAAGAGACUCCAUAAAAACUCAAGCUCCAGUGCUCCUAAGCUUAUUGGCAUGGGCUUCUUGCUUCCAGGAGUUGCCAGCUCUCUCACGGGUUCUAGCCCUCAGCUGCUCUGGAACCUAACCUGGGCUCUGAGAGAUGCAGUCACCAGUGGCAUUUCCCACCAGCAGAGCAUGACUGUGUCCCUUGGCACCUGUUUCGCCGACCUCCACUUCGACCCAACUCACCCACUUGGACUGUCCUGGGCUGAUGGAUUCCUCAGCACAUUUCACCUCUAUGUUUACCCCAGUGCAAAAAUUGGCAACAAGACCCAGCGGUGAUGAUGUGGGGGAGCUGAAUCCUUCUUCUGCUCCUCCUGGGAUUUUGUGAGUAUGGGACACAUUUGGUGGGAUCCCUCUAUCAAGGUGGACUUCAUUUGAGAAUGCUGAAAGACUGAUGACUAAAUCAGCUCUAUGGGCGUUUGGUUCCCUUGCCACCAAACUACGGACACUGGGUGGUGCACCUCCAUCCUCACUAUGUUUAUGGACUUGGGGAAAAAAGGCUAAUGGAUGGGAAUUUAAAAAAAAAAAAAAACCUGGGAGCUCCGAAUUUACGAUAAAGAUAGGUUGGAUGGAAGGGACUAUGGCAGCCUCUUUACAAUCAAAUUAGAUAAGCAAAUACCUACACACCUGCACCUAUAGUUCUACGCCCUAAUAAGGUAUCAGCACCCUCUCUGACACCCAAACAAUCUUAUCAACCAAUACCACCACACAGCAUGGAUGAGCCCAUGUCUGAACCUCUCACAGAGGCCCCUAAUCAACCCUGGCCCAUUACAUCUUCUUGAAGCCACCCACCAAGUGCUUAAUUAGUCUCACACAGAUCUGACUGAGGACUGUUGGCUCUGCUUGAUGCCAACCCCCCAUAUCAUGGUGCAAUAGCCCUUAACUCCUCUGUAACAGGCUAUCAGGGACCUCGGCACUGCAGAUGGCUGUGAGCGGGUCCCAGCUGAGUCACUGUAGUCACUCUUGGGACAAGGGCUCUGUAUAGGUAAUUCUGUGCCCGAGAGAUACUCCUAUACUUAUGUAACACCACAGUAACUUGGACAGGUUCAGGAUACUUGAGCCAUGCUUUCAGUGUUCCUUCUGUUAAUUUUAAAAAGCCAAUGAAAAGUAUCAAUGGAUAGUUCUUUCUCAAGGCAUGACUAACAGUCCUACAUGAUGUCAAAAAUUUGUGGCACAAGCCAUUCAGCCUAUAAGACAGUGAUGUCCAAUGAUAUACAUUAUACAUUACAUGGAUGAUAUCUUAUUAGCAGGGAAAGAGCCUCAGGACUUGCUUCUACUUUAUAGAAAUUUACAACAGGCAUUAUCUGAUAAAGGAUUACAAAUGGCUCCAGAAAAAGUGCAAACUCAAGAUCCUUAUAAUUAUUUCGGUUUUAGGCUUUCAGAUCAAGCUGUUUUUCCUCAGAAAUUUAAAAACGUUAAAUGACUUUCAAAAGCUGUUAGCUGAUAUUACUUGGCUUCAUUUAUUUAAAGCUUACUACAGGAGAAUUAAAACCCUUAUUUGAUAUUCUUAGGGCAA